AAUAGAUACCCGGGUAGUCCACGCCGUAAACGAUGAGUGCUAAGUGUUAGAGGGUUUCCGCCCUUUAGUGCUGAAGUUAACGCAUUAAGCACUCCGCCUGGGGAGUACGGCCGCAAGGCUGAAACUCAAAGGAAUUGACGGGGGCCCGCACAAGCGGUGGAGCAUGUGGUUUAAUUCGAAGCAACGCGAAGAACCUUACCAGGUCUUGACAUCCUCUGACAACCCUAGAGAUAGGGCUCCUCCUUCGGGAGCAGAGUGACAGGUGGUGCAUGGUUGUCGUCAGCUCGUGUCGUGAGAUGUUGGGUUAAGUCCCGCAACGAGCGCAACCCUUGAUCUUAGUUGCCAUCAUUAAGUUGGGCACUCUAAGGUGACUGCCGGUGACAAACCGGAGGAAGGUGGGGAUGACGUCAAAUCAUCAUGCCCCUUAUGACCUGGGCUACACACGUGCUACAAUGGACGGUACAAAGAGCUGCAAGACCGCGAGGUGGAGCUAAUCUCAUAAAACCGUUCUCAGUUCGGAUUGUAGGCUGCAACG
rnacentral:rRNA from 1 species